rnacentral:ncRNA from 1 species
GGUGCCGGUCCCACCGGCGCCCCCUGUGAACCACCAACUGGGGAGAAGCACCCCACCAAGCCCCUCCCCUCCCUCCCGUCGGGCGCGGUCACUCCCGAGAGUGAAUAUGCCAACUCGGCUGGAUUCGGGACCGGUUGUCUGCCCUACGCUCAGCGGCGACACGACCACCAGACAUGCGACGGCCCCCGCCGGGAGUGGCUUCCCGAUGCGAGGGCCUGACCGCCAAGGAAGAAAAAGGCUUCCCC